ACAACGGGUGGAGCUUGCGGUUUAAUUGGAUUCAACGCCGGAAAUCUUACCGGGACCGACAGCAAUAUGAAGGCCAGGCUGAAGACUUUGCCGGAUUAGCUGAGAGGUGGUGCAUGGCCGUCGUCAGUUCGUACUGUGAAGCAUCCUGUUAAGUCAGGCAACGAGCGAGACCCACGCCCACAGUUGCCAGCGUACUCUCUGGAGUGACGGGUACACUGUGGGGACCGCCGCUGCUAAAGCGGAGGAAGGAAUGGGCAACGGUAGGUCAGUAUGCCCCGAAUAUCCCGGGCUACACGCGAGCUACAAUGGUUGGUACAAUGGGUAUCUACCCCGAAAGGGGACGGGAAUCUCCUAAAACCAAUCUUAGUUCGGAUUGAGGGCUGCAACUCGCCCUCAUGAAGCUGGAAUCCGUAGUAAUCGCGUUUCAACAGAACGCGGUGAAUACGUCCCUGCUCCUU
rnacentral:rRNA from 1 species